ACGUCAUCAGUAAACGGAUGUUUUGAAGGCGCUUGACACCUGUUCCGCGAAGGCCUUUAACCUGCAGCAUAUUUACGUCCGGAGUGGGCUCCUCGCGCCCGCAAGCUGGGACAGAGCAACCGCCCAGCUCCCAGUCCGGCCAGGAAGGCGGCCGCAGGGAAGAGGGGGCCACACCCCCACCUAACGGCUGCAUCUGAGUGAUCCGCCUGCCGGCUCCAGUGCCAGGAAGACUGGCCUUCCUGAAGGUUCUCCUGGUCCCAAAAGUACGGCCAGAAUCGUGAGGAUUGAAGGGCCACCCCGGGACCCACGGCAGCUCGACAGAACCCUUCAAGGACAAGUGCACAAAGUUGAAAACCAGUGUCACCCACCGGAGACAACGAUGUAUGUGUGCCUGCAAAAAUGUACGCUUCAUUUAUCCCGAAUCCCACAUACAUUCAUGAUGAGUUAAGCUACCACAGAUCAUUCAUAAGAGGCUUCUUCGGGCUUUUAUUUAUCAUCUAUAGGACUAUUUUUUAUUCAGUACUAACAAUGAGCUCCUACAUCUACGAUAGAGAAAAAUAUGGGAAGGCCAUCUGAGGCCAGCACACGUAUGCCCACAGCAGUAGGAACUGCCCAGGGCUGACCAGGAGAUAGCAAAAGACACGAAAUAUCUAAACGGAUAACAGGGCAACAGCUGUCCAGGCCUCAACAAGUCCUAUGGUUUACAUCACAACAUGACAAACUAUGUUUAAAAUGUUUACCUGAAAUCGUUAAAGAAUGUGUACACUACAUCCUGCACGUUCUAUUAAGCGUGGAAGUAAUAUAUUGUAGAAAGACUGCUGUCGAGGAGGGAGAUUUUUGGUGCUUAACGGGCAAAAACCCAAAACUAAACUAUCCAGAAAACUCCGCUGUUUCAAAAAACACUUACUUCCUCUAA